rnacentral:rRNA from 1 species
UGGGGAAUAUUGCACAAUGGAGGAAACUCUGAUGCAGCGACGCCGCGUGAAGGAAGAAGGUCUUCGGAUUGUAAACUUCUGUUGUCAGGGACGAUAAUGACGGUACCUGACGAGAAAGCCACGGCUAACUACGUGCCAGCAGCCGCGGUAAAACGUAGGUGGCAAGCGUUGUCCGGAAUUACUGGGUGUAAAGGGAGCGCAGGCGGAUUGACAAGUUGGAGGUGAAAUUCAUGGGCUCAACCCAUGACCUGCCUUUAAAACUGUCAAUCUUGAGUGGUGUAGAGGUAGGCGGAAUUCCCGGUGUAGCGGUGGAAUGCGUAGAUAUCGGGAGGAACACCAGUGGCGAAGGCGGCCUACUGGGCACUAACUGACGCUGAGGCUCGAAAGCAUGGGUAGCAAACA